UCAUACCAGCCGGGGAGGUAGCGGCGCCUUGUACCUGAAAUCCGCUAUAGCAGGGGUUCAUUCCCGUCCCGAGGGCUGCUCUUGUGCAGUCUGCACCGUUUUCGUCUGUGUUGAAGAAUUGGUCUUGCGCAAUUCGAGGCUGUGAACCAUGUCAGGUGGGGAACCAAGCAGCAUUAAGCGGUUUAUCGGAUGUGCCGCAAGGUUGCCUGUUCGGAGCAGACGGGGCGGUUACCGUGUGUAAGGGUAUUUCGACGGAGGGGUGUAUGG
rnacentral:SRP_RNA from 1 species